rnacentral:rRNA from 1 species
AUCCGACUAAGGAGUGUGUAACAACUCACCUGCCGAAGCAACUAGCUCUGAAAAUGGAUGGCGCUUGAGCAUCACACCUAUACCCAACCGCUGGGGCAGAACAGGCAAAUGUAGUUGCAGAUCCAGGGCCUACAGGCCCCAGCGAGUAGGAGGGGCGCAGCGGUGUGCGCAGAAGGGAUUGGGCGUGAGCCUGCCUGGAGCCGCCGUUGGUGCAGAUCUUGGUGGUAGUAGCAAAUACUCGAGCGAUAUCCUGGAGAUCUGAUGUGGAGAAGGGUUCCAUGUGAACAGCCUUUGCACAUGGGUCAGUCUGUCCUAAGCUGCAGGAGAAAUCCGGGUUCUGGCGAAAUCAGCGCUCCCGAAAACACAAUUAUGCAAAUAUUGAGAUAAUGGGUGUCGCUGCCAAACCUAAGCGAGAGGGAAUCCGGUACUGAUUCCGGAACCUGGUCACGGAUAACCUCUCCUCGGAGAGGGUCGUUGGGGUCCUCGUGAUCUACACCGUAAGGUAGCUAAACUCGGGGAAGUCGGCCGC